AUGAAGCAGUCAAGGAAGGAAAGCGGUCAGGAAGUCCCGGAGGAGUGCCUUGCGAAGGUCAUCGGCCUGACCUCGCCUGCCGACGCCUGCCGCGCCACCGCGGUAUCCGCGGCCUUCCAGUCGGCGGCAGACUCUGACGCCGUGUGGGAGAGGUUCCUGCCGCUGGACUGCGACGCCGUCCUGGAGCGGGCCGUCCACCUCGUGGAUUCCUCCUCCAAGAAGGAGCUCUUCAUGGACCUCAGCGACGACCAUGUCCUCCUCGACGGCGGCAAGAGGAGUUUUGGGCUCCACCGAUCGAGCGGCGCCAAGUGCUACAUGCUAUCUGUGAGUGAGAUGGGAAUCGCUUGGGUUACAGCAGAUCUGUACUGGAUAAAGAGGUCGGACCCAGAUUCAAGAAAUUGCUUGAUUUAUCCUUGCUUGACAAUUAAGCUUAGGUUCUCCAAGGUGGCAGAGCUCAUGUCAGUGUGCUGGUUCAGCAUCUCCGACCGCAUCAGCAGCAAGGAGCUCUCACCGGGCACCCAAUACGCGGCCUACCUUGUGUACAAGCUCACUCAGGACGCAUCCGGUCUCAGCUCCCCACGGCAGAUAUCGUUCAUUGAGGUAGGUGGGCAGCUAGUUGGGAGCAUCCACCCGGCGUCUCUCCAUCCCUGCGACCGUUGUUCCUGCGCCACACGUGAUGGCGAGUCGUCAUCGUCGUCGACGACGUCCACAACGAACGUUGCCGCCGUACAGGUGCACGAGCACAUGAAGGAUGAAGGAGGCCUCAUUGUCAGGUACCCGCGGCAACGGGUCGACGGCUGGUUGGAGUUCGAGAUAGGUGACUUCCACACAGGUGAUGAAGCCGCGGCUGCAGUAGACGUUUUGAUGGUGCUGCAAGAGCUUGAGGAGCUGCAGUGGAAGAAGGGGCUCAUCAUCGAAGGCAUUGAGAUAAGGCCGAGAAACUAA
rnacentral:rRNA from 1 species